rnacentral:rRNA from 1 species
GUGUCAGCAGCCGCGGUAAUACGUAGGGGGCUAGCGUUGUCCGGAUUUAUUGGGCGUAAAGAGCUCGUAGGCGGUUCGGUAAGUCACGUGUGAAAUCUCCACGCUUAACGUGGAGGGGUCACGUGAUACUGCUGUGACUAGAGUCCGGUAGGGGAGUGUGGAAUUCCCGGUGUAGCGGUGAAAUGCGCAGAGAUCGGGAGGAACACCCGUAGCGAAGGCGGCACUCUGGGCCGGUACUGACGCUGAGGAGCGAAAGCGUGGGGAGCAAACAGGAUUAGAAACCCUGGUAGUCC